rnacentral:rRNA from 1 species
GACAUAGGUGGCAAACGUUAUCCGGAAUUAUUGGGCGUAAAGAGUGCGUAGGUGGUUUAAUAAGUUAGUAGUGGUAAAUUGGGGCUCAACUCCAUGGAAGUUACUAAUACUAUUAAACUAGAGGAUCGGAGAGGUUAACGGAAUUCUAUGUGUAGCGGUAAAAUGCUCAAAUAUAUAGAGGGACACCAAUUGGCGAAGGCAGUUGACUAUUCGGUUCCUGACGUUGAGGCACGAAAGCGUGGGGAGCAAGACGG